UACGUAGGGGGCGAGCGUUAUCCGGAUUUACUGGGCGUAAAGCGCGUUAAGGCGGUUGGCAAAGUUGGUUGUGAAAUCUCAGGGCUCAACCCUGAAAUUGCGACCAAUACUGGUCGACUAGAGUGCAAGAGAGGAAGGUGGAAUUCCCGGUGUAGUAGUGAAAUGCGUAGAUAUCGGGAGGAACACCAGUGGCGAAGGCGGCCUCUGGCUUGUAACUGACGCUGUAGCGCGAAA
rnacentral:rRNA from 1 species